rnacentral:rRNA from 1 species
UACGAAGGGUGCAAGCGUUAGUCGGAAUUACUGGGCGUAAAGCGUGCGUAGGCGGUCUCUUAAGUCUGUCGUGAAAGCCCCGGGCUCAACCUGGGAAUGGCGAUGGAUACUGGCUCGCUAGAGUGCGGUAGAGGAGAGUGGAAUUCCCGGUGUAGCAGUGAAAUGCGUAGAGAUCGGGAGGAACAUCAGUUGCGAAGGCGGCUCUCUGGACCAGCACUGACACUGAGGCACGAAAGCGUGGGGGAGCAAACAGGA